rnacentral:rRNA from 1 species
GAUGAACGCUGGCGGCGUGCCUAAUACAUGCAAGUCGAGCGAACAGACGAGGAGCUUGCUCCUCUGACGUUAGCGGCGGACGGGUGAGUAACACGUGGAUAACCUACCUAUAAGACUGGGAUAACUUCGUGAAACCGGAGCUAAUACCGGAUAACAUGUUGAACCGCAUGGUUCAACAGUGAAAGACGGUUUUGCUGUCACUUAUAGAUGGAUCCGCGUCGCAUUAGCUAGUUGGUAAGGUAACGGCUUACCAAGGCAACGAUGCGUAGCCGACCUGAGAGGGUGAUCGGCCACACUGGAACUGAGACACGGUCCAGACUCCUACGGGAGGCAGCAGUAGGGAAUCUUCCGCAAUGGGCGAAAGCCUGACGGAGCAACGCCGCGUGAGUGAAGAAGGUCUUCGGAUCGUAAAACUCUGUUAUUAGGGAAGAACAAAUGUGUAAGUAACUAUGCACGUCUUGACGGUACCUAAUCAGAAAGCCACGGCUAACUACGUG